rnacentral:rRNA from 1 species
CAGCAGGUCUCCAAGGUGAAUAGCCUUUGGUCUAUAGAAUAAUGUAGUUAAGGGAAGUCGGCAAAGCUGAUCCGUAACUUUGGGAUAAGGAUUGGCUCUGAAGACUGAGCUGGUCGGGCUUUGGUCUAAUAUAAAUUAUGCAACGCCUCAAGACUGAAAAAAGAAUAAAGUGAAAGAAAUUUUACUUGUUUCUAAUUUUGGACUUGUAUCUUUGCUAACUUAUAGAUAGCCUAAGCUAGACUCUUACAUUUUAAGAUGGAGAAGAAAGGGGAGAUAAAUAAGAGAAAGAUAAGUUUAGGCUUUUUUUUUUCUUUUUUCUUCUUUUUUUUUUUUUUUUCUAUCUUUGAUGAUGUAAGAUGCUCUUUCGGCCAGCAAAAAACAGUUGAAUCAGAACUGGCACGGACUUGGGGAAUCCGACUGUCUAAUUAAAACAAAGCAUUGCGAUGGCCGAAAAUCGGUGUUGACGCAAUGUGAUUUCUG